AACGCUCGCUGUGUGCCUAAUACAUGCAUGUUGAACGGGAUGUAGCAAUACAUUCAGUAGCGAAUGGGUGAGUAACACGUACCUAACCUACCUUUAAGACUGGGAUAACUAUUGGAAACAAUAGCUAAUACCGGAUAUAGUUAUUUAUCGCAUGAUGAGUAAUAGAAAGGAGCUUCACAGCUUCACUUAAAAAUGGGGGYGCGGAACAUUAGUUAGUUGGUAGGGUAAUGGCCUACCAAGACGAUGAUGUUUAGCCGGGACGAGAGGCUGUACGGCCACACUGGGACUGAGAUACGGCCCAGACUCCUACGGGGGGCAGCAGUAAGGAAUUUUCCACAAUGAGCGAAAGCUUGAUGGAGCGACACAGCGUGCAGGAUGAAGUUCUUCGGAAUGUAAACUGCUGUUAUAAGGGAAGAAAAAAUAGAAUAGGAAAUGAUUUUAUCUUGACGGUACCUUAUUAGAAAGCGACGGCAAACUAUGUGCCAGCAGCCGCGGUAAUACAUAGGUCGCAAGCGUUAUCCGGAAUUAUUGGGCGUAAAGCGUCCGUAGGUUUUUUGCUAAGUCUGGAGUUAAAUGCUGAAGCUCAACUUCAGUCCGCUUUGGGUACUGGCAAAAUAGAAUUAUAAAGAGGUUAGCGGAAUUCCUAGUGAAGCGGUGGAAUGCGUAGAUAUUAGGAAGAACACCAAUAGGCGAAGGCAGCUAACUGGUUAUAUAUUGACACUAAGGGACGAAAGCGUGGGGAGCAAACAGGAUUAGAUACCCUGGUAGUCCACGCCGUAAACGAUGAUCAUUAGUUGGUGGAAUAAUUUCACUAACGCAGCUAACGCGUUAAAUGAUCCGCCUGAGUAGUAUGCUCGCAAGAGUGAAACUUAAAGGAAUUGACGGGAACCCGCACAAGCGGUGGAGCAUGUGGUUUAAUUUGAUUCUACGCGUAGAACCUUACCCACUCUUGACAUCUUCUGCAAAGCUAUAGAGAUAUAGUGGAGGUUAACAGAAUGACAGAUGGUGCAUGGUUGUCGUCAGCUCGUGUCGUGAGAUGUUAGGUUAAGUCCUGCAACGAGCGCAACCCUUUUCUUUAGUUACUAAUAUUAAGUUAAGGACUCUAGAGAUACUUGCCUGGGUAACCAGGAGGAAGGUGGGGACGACGUCAAAUCAUCAUGCCUCUUACGAGUGGGGCAACACACGUGCUACAAUGGUCGGUACAAAGAGAAGCAAUAUGGUGACAUGGAGCAAAUCUCAAAAAACCGAUCUCAGUUCGGAUUGAAGUCUGCAACUCGACUUCAUGAAGUCGGAAUCGCUAGUAAUCGUAGAUCAGCUACGCUACGGUGAAUACGUUCUCGGGUUUUGUACACACCGCCCGACACACCAUGGGAGUUGGUAAUGCCCAAAGUCGGUGAGUUAACUUCGGAGACCAUUGCCUAAGGCAGGACUGAUGACUGGGGCGAAGUCGUAACAAGGUAUCCCUACGAGAACGUGGGGAUGGAACACCUCCUUUCU
rnacentral:rRNA from 1 species